UUCUCUUCUCUGGUGCAUGAGUCCUUAAUCCAAGAAGACUGUGAAAGACCCCCAGAGUGGGGAGAACCUCACUCAAGUCUCAGGAUAAGCCGACACCCCAAUAAUUCAAGAGAGACC
rnacentral:pre_miRNA from 11 species